rfam:Capsicum annuum cultivar Zunla-1 chromosome 2, whole genome shotgun sequence
UACCUAGUUGAUCCUACCAGUAUUUAUAUGCUUGUCUCAAAGAUUAAGCCAUGCAUAUGUAAGUAUGAACAAAUUCAGACAAUGAACUGCGAAUGACUCAUUAAAUCAGUUAUAGUUUGUUUGAUGGUAUCUACUACUCGAAUAACCGUAGUAAUUCUAGAUCUAAUAUGUGCAACAAUCCCCGACUUCUGGAAGGGAUGUAUUUAUUAGAUAAAAGGUCAACACAAGAUCUGCACAUAGCUACGAUGACUCAUGAUAACUCGAUGGAUCACAUAGCCAUCGAGACAGUGAUUCAUCAUACAAAUUUUUUCCCUAUCAACUUUUGAUGGUACGAUAGUGGCUUACCAUGGUGGUGACGGGUGACAGAGAUUUAGGGUUCAAUUCCAGAGAGGAAGCCUGAGAAAUGACUUCCACAUCUAAGAAAAGUAGAUGGCAUGUAAAUACCUAAUCCUAACACGGGGAGGUAGUGACAAUAACAAUAAUACCAGGCUUAAUGAGUCUGGUACUUGGAAUGAGUAUAAUCUAAAUCCCUUAACGAGGAUCCAUUGGAGGGCAAGUCCGGUUCCAUCAUCCUCGGUAGUUCUAGCUUUAAUAGUGUAUAUUUAAGUUAUUGCAGUUAGAAAGCUCAUAGUUAAUCUUUGGGAUGGGCUGGCUGGUCCGCCUAUGGUGUGCACCGGUCAUCUCAUCCCUUCUGUCGGCGAUAUGCUCCUGGCCUUAACUGGUCGGGUCAAGCCUCCGGUGCUGUUACUUUGAAGAAAUUAGAGUUCUCAAAGCAAGCCUACGCUCUGUAUACAUUAGCAUGGGAUAACAUUAUCGGAUUUCGGUCCUAUUAUGUUGGCCUUCCGAAUUAGAGUAAUGAUUAACAGAGACAGUCGGGGGCAUUCGUAUUUCAUUGUCAGAGGUGAAAUUCUUUGAUUUAUGAAAGGCAAACAACUGCCAAAGCAUUUGCCAAGGAUGUUUUCAUUAAUCAAGAACGAAAGUUUGGGGCUGGAAUAGGUCUGUGAUGCCCUUAGAUGUUCUGGGCCGCACGCGCACUACACUGAUGUAUUCAAUGAGUUUAUAGCCUUGGCCGACAGGCCUGGGUAAUAUUUGAGAUUUCAUCGUGAUGGGGAUAGAUCAUUGCAAUUGUUGGUCUUCAAUAAGGAAUUCCUAGUAAGCGCAACUCAACAGCUCGCGUUGACUAAGUCCUUGCCCUUUGUACACACCGCCCGUCGCUCCUACUAAUUGAAUAAUACGGUGAAAUGUUUGAAUUAAGGUGACGUGGGUGGUUCGCUGUCCACGAGAUCACGAGAUGUAAAUUAAACCUUAUCAUUUAAAGGAAGGAGAAGUCGUAACAAGGUUUUCAGAGGUGAACCUGCAGAAGGAUCAUUA